ensembl:lncRNA
AGCACCGAAGAGCGCGCAGGAGCCGGCCGUGUGUGCGCGCUGGGUGCCGUGUGCUCACAGUGCCGGGAGCGGGAGGACAGCCGGGCAUCUCCUGGGCAGAACUAGAAGCGGAAGCUUCCGCUGAGGUGCCGAGCCCGGGAGAUGUGCCCGGCGCGCCUGUGCGGAUGUCACCUGUCGCUGGCGUAGCCCGGCCGCGCGUUACCUGUGUAUGUCUCGUCCUCACCGUCGGCCUCGUUUCCCGGCCCGAGACCCGGCGGCCGCGGUGCUCCGGGAGCGGGGCCCGGCCUGGCCCGGAGGGCCUCCCUUCGCUCACCCCGAACCCGGCGUCGGGCAGGGGCUGCGAGGCACGCGCGGGCGGGUCCCUCGGGGGCCCUGGGAGGCCGCCGCUGGGCAGCAUGUCGCGUGGCGCAGGGGACCCCAGCGGGCGGGACCCGAGGGCUCCGCGUUCUGGAGGGGUCCCAGCCCCGCCACCCUGGGGUGCGCUUCUGCGGCGGAGACACCUGGACCGCCGGCCCCGCUGCCGGCCUGGGCACACCCGGGACCUCUCACAGCCCCCGCCAUGGGGGGUCGAGCACGUGCACAGUCCCGAACCCCUCUCUCAGCGUCCCCGAGCGCUCCGGCCUCGAGGGACGGAGUGUGUGCGUAGGUGACAGUGCCUGGAGCCUCGGACACAACGGACAGGGCUGCCCGCGGCACCUCAGCAUUCACCGGCCUCUGGCCUCUUUCCCACCAUGAGUAAACCCUCAGUGUCCCCUCAAAGAAGGGAGCCAACAGUGAGGACAGUUGAGGUUAAUUUUUUUUAACUAGUAUUUGUUUUUUAGACUAGUUUUAGAUUUACAGAACAAUUGAGCAGGUGGUCCAGAGGGUUCCCGCUGUUGUGAGCAUCUUAGGAUGCCAUCAGGAUCCCACAUAACCUCUAGUCUCGUGUCUCCUGAGGCUCCGCUUGGCUGUGACAGUCUCUCAGACUGUCCUUGGUUUCUGUGACCUUGGCGCUUGGGAGAGGUGCCGGCGGCUGUUCUGUAAGAUGUCUCUCUCUCUGGAUUUGUCUGAGGUUUUUGUCGUGGUUAGACUGGGGCACUGGUUUGGGAAGAAGACCGCAGAGAUAAAGUGCCAUUCCCGUCUCAGUGUAUCAAGGGUCCUUGCCACCAACAGGACCCAUCCCUGCUGAAGUUGACCUUGGUCGCCUGCCUGAAGAAGUGUCGUCUCCACUGUCAAGGUACCGCGUUCUCGCCCUGUCCACACUGUGCCUUGUGGAAGGAAGUCACUGUGCACAGCCCACACUUAAGGGGCCUCUUCAGGGAGAGUCCUAAUAAACUACCUGGAAGUCUUCCACGUGGAGGGUUGGGGAGAUUUGUCUCUUCUCCCCAGUUGUUUAUGCGAUCACUUACUUGUGUCAUGGGUUCUUAUUUUGUACUGAAAGCUUGGGAGGGAGUGUGGUCUCACCAGGUCUGUGUGCCCUUGCGUGUGCACACAAGCGUGUGCGAGCAUUUAGUUCCAGGCAGCUUUAUCACAUGUGUCAGCUCAUGUACUCAUCUUGGCCGUCAAGACACGGAACUGCCCGGUCACCACGUGGCUCCCUCCUGCUGCCCUCUCGUGGCCACAGCCCCCUCCCUCCCCCCACCCACCUGGCCAGUGGGAUCCAGACUGUGCCUCCUCCCCAAUCCUCCAGUGUGGCUCCCCACCCUCCUGGGCUCAGCCGGAAGGCUCUUGGUGACGGGGACGGAUGUGACUCCUGAGUCACUGCUGACCACUGGCUCCGGCUCUCUCUGGCCCUCCUUUGACCCUCCUCCUGGCCUGUGGACCCCUCUCUGGAUGGCUGCAGGCCACCACCCCUUUCUCUGGUUCUCCCUUCACGCCUUGAUCCCCUGACAAAGGAGCCACUACUGCUCCCGCACCCACCUUGUGUCACCUCUGGGCACGCAGCCCGCAGGAUGGGAUGUGUUUCCCAGGAGUCUCUCUCUGUCCCCCUCUGUCUCUGUCUCCCUCUACCCCUGCAUCUCUCUCUCCCCCUCACUCCUGCAUCCCCAGCACAAAGUGGACGCCUGGUGUGAGUCAGCUCCCUGCUCUUCCCUCUGCCUCUCCUGAGCCUGCCUGGCUCUGCAUGGGGACACUGGAUGUGGGACAUGUGGACAAAGGACACGAGACACAGGGACUCGGGGACUUGUGUUUCCUCUCACCUCCUGUCCCCCUGCCCGUACCUGUGCCCUGCCAGCCCCUGGAGCUUCUUCCUCCUCCACUUUGUACCUCUGCAAGUUGGGCCCCGGGAAGUGGUCAGGGCCCUGGGAUGAGGUGGGAGCCCCUGGGGCUCCUGGGGGUACCUCCUGAAAGCAGCUGGGUGUGUUAGGGGGUCAAGGCUGUGAGUUGUCAGUCAAGGUGAUGUUUGGGGCUCCUGUGGCCUGGGCCACCAGCAGGGACAGAACAGCAGGUGACCAUUGGUUUACCCAGUGAUUUAGUCUCCAUGGAGCCUUGGCCCCUCAUUGGACUGUCACCACGGGCCUGGCAUUGCUGUUAUUGUCAUUUUACAGUUGAGGAGUUUGUGCCUGAGAGAGACAGAGUGAAGGAGGCAGAGAGAGGGAGAGGCCGGCGUGGGGGGACCGAAGGAGGAGGAGGUCCCUCGGCCUCAGAAUCCUUGCUGCCAGUAGGGGGCUGGCACAAUGUGCACAGUGAGCUGCAUCCCUAGAGGGUAGGCAAGCUUGGCCCUUAUGGAAGGGCUCUCUGGAGGGCUGCCUGAGGGUGGUGUGGAUGUGGAAGUGAUUGGCUGGGAACGUUAGGCCCUCCAGCCCAGGGAGACCGCUUGUGGGUAAGACGUGGGUAGGAGCAGGAAUGAGACUGGGGUCCCCGAGUCAGCACCCCGACCUGUGUGCCUUUGCUCAAGGGGUGCCCACCCCCACGCUGCCUUCCUCUGCCCUCCCUGUGCCUCCCUUUCUCCUGAGUGCUUGCUCCACCAAGGCACUGAGGCAUCCGCGCCAGGUCACUCGGCCACUUGGGGAAUCGGUGCCGUGGCUGGCCCCCGGGGGGCCGCAGUGGGUGAAGGCCCAUCCAUAAUGAGUGUAGGCUGGACCUUGACCUGCAGAGCAACUGGGCGAGGGGCCGUGGGAAUGAAGACUCUGCUGGAGAAGGCUGGGCCGGGACGGCAGGAGGAACUGUGGAGCGGCUGCAGCAGAGGUGCAGUGCGGCGGCGGGAUGGGGGGUGGCAGUGGGCCUGGGGAGAGAGGGUCCAAGGGCAGCAGCCCUGGUGACCCGCUGGACAUGGGUGUGGCCAGGGGCAACAGAAGAGGCUAUGGCCAUGCUCUGGUCUGACCCAGGUCCCAGGCUGGAUCUUCACAGCCCUCCUGGCCAAGGGCACGGAGCCUCAGUGUCAGGGUCCCUGCAGGCUGACAUCAUGCUGUUUGUAACGAAGCUGGACCGAUCAGAGGGGACACGAGCCAGGUCUCCUUGCCCGGUGUGGGCCCGGCCUUCUCAGCAGGCCUGUCUCUUGUCUUCAUUAGGCCCAUUGUCUCAGAGCUACGUGGGGACUGGUGGCACUUCCCUGAUUAUCACAGCAGGAUUCUGGUUUCCAGAACAGGGGAGCUGGGCCGACACCACCCGUGCAAGCUGCCAGCCUGUGCUUGUCCUCACGGUGGCCGAGGGUCCAAGACAGCAAGCAGUUGAGCAGACGUGUGCAGCACCGCAGGAGCCAAGGCUGGAGCUGGGGCCCUGUCUGUCCUCUGCAGCUGUGAAGCCGGGCUGAUUCUGGAUUCCAGGGUGGAGAGACUCGGCCUCUGGGAGGGGGCUGCAGAGGUGAUUGAGAGGGGCCAGGCAGAGGGAGGGAGCCGGAGUGGGGUCCACUCUCCCGACCUGGGGCAGCUAGGCUUUGGGACCAUGCCCAGCGCUGGUGUCGCAGUCACUGGCUGGGAGGAGAGGCCUGUGUGUGCAUGCACAUAUGUGUAAGCAUGCAUGUGUGUGGGCAGAUGCAAGCCCAUCUCUGAUGUGUGUUGCUUGCGUUCCUGCUGACAAUUGCCGGACGUCCUAUGGAGAGCCAGCGUCUGAGUCCAGAUGGGGUGCAGGGCAGGGGCUCCAACCUGGAGUCCGCAGCGCCCGACAGAGUGUGGUCUAGCUCUGCUGCCCAGAAGAGACCCCAAGGAUGCUCGCACAUGACCUUGUGCUGCAGAACGUUAAUGGGAACAUGUAUUAGUGACUGUUCUCCACGAGAGGAUCCUGUGAGGACCCGUGGACUCAGCAGGCCACAGUGGGGCACUAACCGAUUUGUCUGACUGGCUGAGGUCGGUGUCCGGCUGGCUCCAUCCCCCCACUGGAGGCUCCGGGCUCAGGAAGGCCUGCGGGACAUCUGGGCCCUGCCUUCCUAGGAGCAGCGGCCUGUGUGGGCUGGGAUCCGGCUGAUGCUGACCAGCCGCCCCUCCCCAGGUGGAGGAAUCUCGUGGGCCCUGAAGUGGAGGAGGAGGUCCUGGCCCGUCACUUUCCCUGCCUGCCCCCAAUUCUCUGUGUCGGCUGGAAUCAGGUUCCAUGGAGCUCUCCUCUCCAGGCAGGGAGUAGUAGUGAGCGAGAGAAUCUCCCUUUUGUUAGGACAUAAAGACUGGGAGCGGAUUUCUUUUAGUUCUUUUGUUUAGUUUUGUUAGGGCUGGGAUCCUAGACAUAAAAUGUUAUUCUGCUGGGAGCGGGAUAAUGGUGCUGCCAGCUUCUCCGCACACAUGGAGAAUAGGGAGGAUCUUCUGUUGUGUGGUCGCACUGAGCAGACGCCCCGGAGCGUCGCCUCGGAGGUGGCAGUACUGGGACGUCCUCUAAGCCCCCGCGGGUGCAGCCUGCUCCUUGACGUCAACACAGUGACCAAGGCCAGCUGCUCCUUAACAGCUGGGCUGGGGACAUGUUUGGGGGCCUGUGCAGAACAUGGAUAAUUGAUUUCAAAUAUAGCUCAAGAUAGAAAUUGUUAAAAAGACACCAAAUUUUUGGCCAAUGGAAGUAUGUGUGUUGUUUUCCAGUAGACCGCACGCAUCUCCAAAAAAUGUGUUCUGUAUAAUCCUCCAGCUGAGAUGGGGAGAGGAAAUCCAUCUCCAGGUUUCCCGGCACAGCUAGAUUGGAACAACACCCCUCCUAAAUCAGUGCUCAGGAAGGUCAAGUUCGAUAAAAAUCUCAGGGUUCUCGGUGAGGCCUGAGUUGCAGAACAUCGAGAAAGCACUUUGGUAUCAUUACUUAAAGUAUAUUGUGUGUUGCACACUUCGGUAGAAAUGGGACGCCUCGGGAGCCUGAAUGGAAAUGCCCUUUCUCAAAAGGGACACACUCCACAAUGCUUUUUUCAAAAACAUAAAAAUCUACUUAUUCCUGAAACACUUUAAUUUUACUCGGUAAUUUCCAGAAGCCCACAUGACAAUGAGGUGACGAAGCCCUGGAACCAGGUUCCAAGUUGGGUGCUGGCUCUUGUGGUGUGGGUGACCCUGGCCGCCCCUUCCUAGCUCUGACCACCGAGGGCAGGCCCUCCUCCUGCAGGUGCACCUGGAGCGAUCGUGGCUCCAUUCUUGAAGCUUGCUUCCUAAAACGCACUGCUUUUCAGGGGGACUUGACUUAGAAAUGAGACUUCAGAGCUCUGUAAUCGUGGUGUCGCACGCCUGCCUCAGAGGGAGUUACAGGGAGUCAGUGGAAGGUGGAAAUCAGAUCCUUGGUUCUAAUCAUGUUUUAGUUGCUUUGUGCCUAGAAGGAGGUCAGGUUUCAAAGUAUUUGCAUAUCGAUGUGGCCCGCCACUCCAGAUGAGAUGUUAAUUCCGGGUUUACUCCUUCCCUGAGUGUCCCUCGCCCCCAUUGCUGCAGGUGCCUCUCUUUAAUCCCCUGGGGUGGGGACGUCUGUGCCAGGGAGGGAGGUGGUGGGAGGCCCAGUCCCGCCUCCUGGGCUCUAGCCCUCGGGAGGGCAGGGCUGAUGGGGUUGGCAGAGGCGGGAGCCUGGUUGGGAGUGAGAAGGCGGACAGGGGAGAGGAGAGGAAAAGACUUCCCCACAAAAGGGAUCCUGCCUGGCUCGGGGAGCAGACAGAACUCAGGGGUCUCCCCAGAUGGUGAUGGGACACCACCCAGAAGGCAGGCGGGAGCAGCUGGACCCCUGACAUAAGGCUCACCUGGGGCAGAGCAGAGAUACCCCUGGUGGGGCUGUGGGGCUCCUUCCUCCUGACAUCUGGGCAUCAUGCCACAGGGAGACCCUGGGGUGACGGAGAC